GUUUUUACUUUGGGGACACAUACUAAAAUUGAAGCAAUACAGGGAAGAUUAACAUGAUCCCUUCAAAAGGAAAACAUGAAAAUUCAUUAAAUGUCCCGUAUUUUU
rnacentral:snRNA from 1 species